rnacentral:rRNA from 1 species
CCCUUAGAUGUUCUGGGCAGCACGCGCGCUACAGUGGUCUUCGCAAACGGAUGCAUUCUCGAAGGAGAAUGCCAAUCUUGGAAUCUAUGCCUUGGUCGGGACAGUUGCUUGCAAUUUUUCGACUCGAACCAGGAAUUCCUUGUAAUCGUGAUUCAUCACAUCACGAUGAAUACGUCCCUGCCCUUUGUACACACCGCCCGUCGCUCCUACCGAUCGAAGAGUUAGGUGAAUUGUUUUGAUCGAUAAGAUUUGACUAUGGUCAACUCUCGUUGUGAAAUUCUGUGAAUCUGACUGUUUAGAGGAAGGAAAAGUCGUAACA